UACGAAGGGGGCUAGCGUUGUUCGGAAUUACUGGGCGUAAAGGGCGCGUAGGCGGCUCUGAUCGUCGGAUGUGAAAGGCCUGGGCUCAACCUGGGAAUGGCAUCCGAUACGGCGGGGCUGGAGUGUGGGAGAGGUUGGUGGAAUUCCCAGUGUAGAGGUGAAAUUCGUAGAUAUUGGGAAGAACACCGGUGGCGAAAGCGGCUCUCUGGAACGGUACUGACGCUGAGACGCGAAAGCGUGGGGAGCGAACAGG
rnacentral:rRNA from 1 species